rnacentral:rRNA from 1 species
GACGUAGGGCGCGAGCGUUGUCCGGAUUUAUUGGGCGUAAAGAGCUCGUAGGCGGCUUGUUGCGUCGACCGUGAAAACCCGUGGCUCAACUGCGGGCUUGCGGUCGAUACGGGCAGGCUAGAGUUCGGUAGGGGAGACUGGAAUUCCUGGUGUAGCGGUGAAAUGCGCAGAUAUCAGGAGGAACACCGGUGGCGAAGGCGGGUCUCUGGGCCGAUACUGACGCUGAGGAGCGAAAGCGUGGGGAGCGAACAGG